rnacentral:rRNA from 1 species
AUACGGAGGAUGCGAGCGUUAUCCGGAUUUAUUGGGUUUAAAGGGUGCGUAGGCUGUGCGUUAAGUCAGGGGUGAAAUGCCGUCGCUCAACGACGGAGCUGCCCUUGAUACUGGCGUGCUGGAGUACGGAUGCCGUUGGAGGAAUGAGUGGUGUAGCGGUGAAAUGCUUAGAUAUCACUCAGAACACCGAUUGCGAAGGCAUCUGACGAAUCCGUCACUGACGCUGAGGCACGAAAGCGUGGGGAUAGAACAGGAUUAGAUACCCUGGUAUUCCACGCCGUAAGCGAUGAUGACUAACCGUCGGCGAUAGACAGCCGGUGGCCAAGCGAAAGCGAUAAGUCAUCCACCUGGGGAGUACGUCGGCAACGAUGAAACUCAAAUGAAUUGACGGGG